CCCGCCCGCGGGGGCCCCGCGCCCGGCCCGCCGCCCCCCGCCCCCCUACGGGAGGCAGCAGUGGGGAAUAUUGCACAAUGGGCGCAAGCCUGAUGCAGCCAUGCCGCGUGUAUGAAGAAGGCCUUCGGGUUGUAAAGUACUUUCAGCGGGGAGGAAGGGAGUAAAGUUAAUACCUUUGCUCAAUGACGGUACCCGCAGAAGAAGCACCGCUAACUCUG
rnacentral:rRNA from 1 species